rnacentral:lncRNA from 1 species
AACACUGAUAUGCACUAUUUGUUUCGCUGAGCAAAUAUGUAUUGAUUGCCUUCUGAAGGUUGUAUGCUCAAAUGUAAUUUGAUAGACAUGACUCUGGAAAUACUGUAAGCUCCUAGCAACACAAACCGAGUGAUACUACUUGUUAUCACUCUUUGACUUUCCCGGAUAUAUCCAAAGUGGAAUUAGUAUCAUUUGCUUCUCAAAGCCAACCACUACCCAUGUAACCAUGAAAAAUAUAGAAAAUUGGUAUAAUAUUUUCCAAUAUUAGAUUCUUCUAAAAUAUUUACUUAUUUAAUAACAUACAUGUGCAUAUGUGUAGAU